UUUUAAUAUAUAGUGACGUGACAUACAGGCGCGCGCUUCCACAACUGACGCACCGCGCGCACAGUAUUGACAAGAAAAGAGUUGUGAAACUUUCUAUCUCGUAUGGAGUUAUAACGUGAAAUAAUGACACAGACUGGCUCAUCAUCUAGUCUGCAGCAGAGACUGUUGUAUCAGAAGGACAGCGCGUUUGUUUGACGCACUUUUCACUUCAACUGUGUCUGACAGGAGAAUUUAGCUUUCUGAGCCUUCUAGCCGUUGAGUUACCAUGGCAACCGCGUACACAUCAGCUGCUGGAGAGGAGAGGACUCGUCUGACAUUUUCUCUGUUUCUCGUCAGUUAUACCAAAGAAAAGGCCAACAACUGCGACAGAUUUUGAUUUCAGGAGUGUCUUAAAAACCCUCUAAAACAGAGGGGAAGUUCCAAGAAAGUGUCUAAUGGGAGCUGCUGACAGAGAUAGAAAACACAGUUUGUUUAUUUCUAAUAAGGAGCUGGAGGCCGUGAAGAAACAGAUCCAUGAUAUCGUGGAGAAGCAGGCCCAGAUGAGCAAGUGGAGAGCUAUGCUGGAAAUAUUCAGGGGUUGAUGCUCAUAAGUCCAGGUGUAAGACAUGAACCAGGCCCUGGGCGACGACCUCUCUCCAUCCGCCGCCUCCGGUCUUCAGGAUCUCCACCAGAACCCGAUUCGCUCCACUUCGUGAGACAGAACACAACGCUGUGAUCAUCGGAGACUCCAUCGUCCG